rnacentral:tRNA from 1 species
UAAUAAGAAGCAAAACCUUGCAUUUAGUUUCGACCUAAACAUUGAUACAAUUAUCCUUAUUUU